rnacentral:rRNA from 1 species
AUACGGAGGGAGCUAGCGUUGUUCGGAAUUACUGGGCGUAAAGCGUACGUAGGCGGAUUGACAAGUUGGGGGUGAAAUCCCAGGGCUUAACCCUGGAACUGCCCUCAAAACUAUCGAUCUAGAGACCGGGAGAGGUAAGCGGAAUUCCUAGUGUAGAGGUGAAAUUCGUAGAUAUUAGGAAGAACACCAGUGGCGAAGGCGGCUUACUGGACCGGUACUGACGCUGAGGUACGAAAGCGUGGGGAGCAAACAGGAUUAGAAACCCCAGUAGUCC